UGCGAUUAAAACCUUGAUCGGUGAUUAUAGUCCGCCAUGAUGGAUCAGUGUACAUAAGCGAGCGACAAUUUUAGGCUAUUCUCUUAAAUCAUACGCCUACUUUUGUAAACUGUCUCAUAGAAAGUAGCAAGCAAACGCCCGCGAAGCCAAAGAUAGCAUACAUUUUAAAUAUUUUAAACGUUCUAUUGACUAACGUUAAUGCCUGUCCUAAGGAAAAUAUCGCAGCGAGUACGGAGCUGAAAUUUUACAACUCACGAAAAACACUUAUUAUACCAAUUAAUGGAACAACACGCAAAAAUAAUUGAAGACAAACGAACGGAUAAUUACACUCUGACAAAAAAAGAAGAGGCAUGGGUCGAGCUCUGCACAAGUUUCAAUGGCUCUGUGGGAAUCAAGGACAAGCGUGAUGUGAACCAUAGAUAUAGAACACUAGAUGUCUCGUCCGCGUCGCUGGCCAACGGAGUCGAACGUCCGCACAUGGCGGCCAUCUUGCUACAGGCAGCUCACUCCCCAUAACAUUGAGUUGGUAGGGAUCACGGACCUUACCUCAGUUUGCCUCAGGUUCCACAGAUUCUGACAGAAAGCUUGACUGUAGUAAGAUGGCCGACCUCUGCGGACGUUCUAGACGCUGCCGUAAGGUAUGAGGUGAACAAUAUAAAAGCCUGCUGGAAAAACCUGAAAGCAAAGGCGAAAAAAGAUGCUGCCAAGGAAAGAAGGGACACUUUUCUCACCGGAGGAGGCCCCCCAUCUGGAGAAAUGGAUGUGUUGUCAGCAAAGAUAGUCCAGGUGAUUCCACAGUAAAUAACCCCCUUGCCAAAUCCCUUUGAAGACGAUGCCAUUGCUGAUCAGCCAGUGCUAGCAACAUCCAGCUUCAAAGAACUCAAUGAUGGAGAUACAAUGCCGGCCCUCUCUGCUCUUGCCAUCAUGACAACGUAUCUGCGAGGGACCAACCCUGUCCCCGAAACCAGUCUGUUCAGAUCCAAUCAGCCCCUCAAACAGCAAUAGGCAUAAGAAAGACUUAACUGAAUAUAAUUUUGAAGUAUUGAAAUUGGAGAAAGAGAAAAAUAUGAUUCAAAUUAAAAAUGCAAUAUUGCAGAGAGAAGUGCUUAUUUUACAGAAAGAAGUACUGCAGCUUCAAAAAGAUACACUCAAGACAGGUUUACAACCUGUGGAGAUGCUUUUCAAUGAAGUGUAGUCCUACUGUAUGUAUAUCAAUUGAGAAUUGUGUUAUUUUAUUUAUUUAUCUGACCUGUUUAAAAUAAUUAAAACAUUUUCAUUGAUUGAACAGUUCUAAUUAC